rnacentral:tRNA from 1 species
GCCCAGGUAGCUCAGUGGUAGAGCACUUCCUUGGUAAGGACGAGGUCUCGGGUUCAAUUCUCGAUCUGGGCU